UUCAACCCCCCUGCCAUGGGCAGGGUGACCAACCACUAGACCAGGCUGCCCAGAGCCACGUCCAGCCACAUCUAGAACUGUCUGACAGACAGAGAUGAUGUUGCUUUAUGUUGUGUGCUGUCAGGGUUUUGUGGUUGGGCUUCAGGGGCUGUAUCUUGGCUUUUGUGUUCCUCAGGAGAGGAGCAGGGUAUGACUCGAGGAAAGUAAAUAAGGACUUUUAAAGACAUGUUUAUUUAUGGACGGGCUUUCAUGCAUGCAUCUGACAGCACUCCACAUAAAAUAUAAUUAAAACAAGCAUCAUGCUGAAUAUGAUUCAGAAAAUAAAAAUGUCUUUAAAUACAGUUAACUGCCAGCGGCUCAACAUACCUCAUUCCUCUGGGGAAGGAGGAACAGAGACACAAAGCUAUGUGACUACAGAAGGCAUGAGAUGAGGGUAUUUUUAGGGGAAGCACAACUUGGGGAAGUAAUUGACUCCUGACAAGGGUCUACUGCAAGAAACACUCCUGAAGCCUCCCAGCACUGGAGCAUGGCUAAGCCUCUAGGGUAGCUGUCAGACCAAUGGGGAAGUCAGGAACAUCAGUGCUGCUAUUCCAAACUUUUCCUUGAUCCUGCAAGUCCACAAUUUUCUAUGUUUUCUGCCUAUUUUUUUCUUCCAUUUCCAUUCAGGCCUGCAGGAGGCAACCUCCAAAACAGAUGUGAGAGGCUUCCUCCCUCCAGCCUUGUCAUACUGUGCUUGCCACCAAAUCUGAAUGGCAGAAGCUGCUUACAGCUUUGAAAAACUGCCUUUUCUUUCUUCAGUCUGCAUGAAAAAGAAAAUGCAAUUCCAUUAUUGCUCCCAAUACCACAAAAGGCAAUAUCGAAAUCCUGAGAGAACAUUAGUGGAGUCAGGAUGACUUUUCGUUUAACUGUAGAAUUUUUAGAGAUGAUAUUAUCCUUAAGAAAAUCUCGUUGAAAAUUACAGGUUUCUCUAGUCAAAGUGAUAGACUUAUAAGUAUAAUAAUGAAUUUUUUGCGUUCAUACUUAUUGUCAGAAAUGCUGGAUACUUUACCUGCACAAUUUUAAUAAUACUGCUGUAGCUUAUGUCUUCCAUAUAAAGAAAACUGCAGAAGAAAUUGUGAUCCAUGUUCUUACCCUUUCACUUAAAUUUUGUUUCCUAAGAGAUCAGAUACAAAUCUUAGUUUCUUUGAUCUUAUGCUCUGUAUUGGAAUUUAUUUAUAAAUGUCUAAUAUGGUCACAAGUUGAUGUACAUAUGUAUGUUUUAGGAAGUUUUUCACACAGAGGGUGCAACAGGUUGCCCAAAGAGGUUGUGGAUGCCCCAUCCCUGGAGGCAUUCAAGGCCAGGCUGGAUGUGGCAGUCUCGUCUAGAGGCAGGUGACCCUUCUCAUAGCAGGGGGGUUGAAACUAGAUGAUCAUUGUGGUCCUUUUCAACCUGGGCCAUUCUAUGAUUCUAUGAUUCUAUGUAUACAUACCACUGGCUAAGGUACUAGGACAUUGCUGAGGUGUUAGCUGGUUAAUGUGCCUGAAUAGGCUUGAAGAGGGAAGGAGCAAGGUAGUGCAGAAGAACUGGGGAGGUGCAAGAUGUUAUGAAGAUGUGUAGAAGUAUUUGGAUCUGUGUAGAGAACAGAGGUUCGCUUUCAACUUGCUAUAUUUGAGCAAAUUCCCAAGAAUUUUUACAUUUUGUCUGUUUUGUCUAGCAGUUUGGUGGUCCGAACAGAGAAAAUGAAAUGACAGAGAGAGAUUUGCAAUCAAAAAGAUGGAGUUGGAUGUCCUUUAUGACCCUUCCUAGUACAACUUUGUCACCUGGAAGAACUGAUACAGUGCCUUAUGGACUGCAUUAGACCAAGUGUCACUAGCAAAUUGAAGGAGAUGAUUCUUCUCUGUUGAGUACUGGUGAGACACUUGAAGUGCUGGGUCCAGUUCUGGUUCCCCAAUACAAGAGAGACACAGUGCUACAGAGUGAGUCUAACAAAGGAUACCAAGGACUGGAGCACAGGUUGUUUGUGAAAAAGCCGAGGGAGCUGGGACUAUUCAGUGUUAAGAGGAGAAGGCUUGGCUGGGUGCUACUGCUGCUCGUAACUACUUUGAAAAGAUGCAGCAGACUUUGGAUGAUGGACUGAUGUAGGACACGAAGUAACGGAUGCAAGUUGCAAGAAGGAAAACUCCAGUUAGAAAGUUUUUUUUCCCCCAGAGUGCGCAGUCAAACAUUGGAGAAAGUGCCUGGGGAAGACAUAGAAUCUCCACUCUUGGAGAUACUCAAAAACUCAAUUGGACAAGGUCCCCUCCAACCAUUGUAUCACUUUUGUUUGAAUUAUUAAUAUGAAAACAUGGAUUGUAGCAUUGUUUGAUUCUCUGAUUACUGUGGUCAUUUUGAUCAGCAGAUGAUGAAUGAAUUUUGCCUUGUUGUCUGUACAUUUCUUCUGCAUGUCUGUCUCUGUGUGUAUUAGCAAUUGCUAAUACUAGAUAAUGUGUGUGUUUCUGAACUCUGAGAAAAAUAAAACAUAUCAAUAAUUA